AUUGCGCUAGGGAUUGUAGUGAAAAUCCUUUUUUUUCAAAUUCGAAAAAUUUAAUCAUCAAAAAAGAUUGUAACAAAAAGCCCGCCCGUAG
rnacentral:sRNA from 1 species